rnacentral:rRNA from 1 species
CAAAAACAUUGCCCCAUGAUAUAAUAUAUGGGGUAUGUCCUGCCCGGUGAAAUUUUCAACGGCCGCGGUACCUUAACCGUGCAAAGGUAGCAUAAUCACUUGCCUAUUAAUUGUAGGCUAGAAUGAAAGGAUGAACGAAAUAAAACCUGUCUCUUUUAUUAUAUAAAAAACUAAUAUUUAAGUGAAGAAGCUUAAAUUUUAUUAUAGGACAAGAAGACCCUGUAGAGCUUUAUCAUAAAUUAGUUUUACUACUUAAGAUUAGGUUGGGGCGACCAAGGGAUCAAUAAACACCCUAAAAAUUAAGAUAUCUAAAUCACGUAAAAGAUCCUUUAUCAAGAUCACAAAAUUAAGCUACCUCAGGGAUAACAGGCUAAUUCUUCUUUAGAGCUCUUAUCAAAAGAAGAGGUUGGCACCUCGAUGUUGGCUUAGGGACUCUAAAUGGCGCAAAAGCUGUAAAAGAAGGUUUGUUCAACCUAUAAAACCCUACGUGAUCUG